CUUUCCUUCCAGCAAAUCCCCAAAUCCCUCAAUCCCCAUUGCAGCCUUCAUCUCCAGCGCCCCCCCCCGCUCUCUCUCUCUCAAUACUCCUGCCGUCGCCGCUUCCAACCCAUCGCCUCCACCUCUACGUUGCGGCCUCCUCUUGGUCGCCGCCUCCGCCGUCGCAGCUCCAACUCAUCGCCUUUGCCGCCGCGGCCUCUAGCCUACUGCCUCCGGCGCCUCCCGCUCCAUCGCUAAUCAGGGAUCUCUCCUCAGAUUGCAGUUUGUUACCACAUUAAGUAGUUUUAACGAUGCAUUUAGAAUGAGGCAUAUCAAAGCCUCUAGCCCAUUACCUUAGGAAAUAUUGACUCUAGGCGUGUUUGUUUAAUUUUUCGUCAUUGUUCCCGUAUAAUUGCAUAUAUAUAUAUGUCAAUGUAGUUUAAAAGUAUUUCUUGGAUCAAAGCCUCUAAUACAAAGUAUUGAUCGGACUUGGCAAUGAUGUAAAUGAUGACAAAGUCAUUAGCAACAUUUCUUGGGGGGGGGGGGGGGGGAUUUAUUGGGCUGUCAUAGUCUAAAUCAACCAUUAUGGAUUUGCUAAUUUACGGGUAGAAGCUAAUUUUGCUGGCAUGGUGAAAAUUUCUUUUUGCUCAUAUUUUAACUAUUAAGUAGUGGUUCGUGGAUAUGCUAACUAUAUUCAGAAAAGUAGAAAAUUGCAACCAAGUAGUGAAGAUUGGGCAAGAAUUGGAAUUUUCGCUUGUAAACAUUGCUGAGAACGACGUAGUUCAGGGAAACAAGAAAUUGAUAUUAGGUAUGUGCUCUAUUGUAUUUAUCUUUGGUAUUAUUGCUAUGAUUUCUUGCAAUCCAUUGACAUAUUUAAUGAAUGCUCGGCAUGCAUAAAUUAACUUGAAGUAUUUUAUAUUUCUGCUAUAAGAUAAGAAUUUUUGAAUAAAAAAUGUUGCAACUUUUAUCUUUCAGCUUAUCUAUGGGAAAUUUAUUAUGAAUUUGUCAAUAAACAUUCUAGACUUAAGUGGUUUGUCAAAAUUGAGUAUGCAAAUAAUUAGAUAAAAUCUCAUGAAUUUGUCAUUGCAACCCAACAUCACUGAUAACAUACAUCAUAUUUCAAAUUUCUAAACAAUUGUAGAAAACUGCUUUUUAGGUGGUUAAAAUGUAUCAGAGAUAUAUGUUUGUGUACUAUAACAUAAUAAAAUUUUGGAAUUCAAUUCCAUACUCAAUAAACAGAAAAUGUAAGAAAGUCAAACUUUUAUCUAUUCUGACCUUACUCAAUUAGAUCAACAAUAUUUCCCAAACUCAAAGGGUUAGGUGGUGUUCUCUUCAUGUUUCAAUUUUGAGUUUUGAAAUCAUUUUCAAUUUUGUGUUUUGAGUGUCUAUUUUGAGAUUUUUGAAAACGCGUUCUUUUUGUUAUUCUGAAAAACUAUUUUUCAAAAUAAAAAACUAGGAAACAUGUUUAUUUUAAAAUUUUAAAAAUAAUUUUUUUUUGUUAUUAUGAUAUUUUAUUGAAUGAAUUUGAUUUAAAGUAAAUUAUAAACAUUUAUUAGUAAAUUAUAAAUUUGAUUCAAAUAUUUUAAACUAUAAAAUAAAAUACAAAUAAAAUAAAAUAAAAAAUCAAAAUCUUAGAAAUAUUAUUAAAAAAAUUAAUACAAAAAAAUCAUAUUACAUAUUCAAAUAAAAUAAAAAAAAAUCAAAUAACACAAAAAAAAAAAAAAAAAAAAAACAAAUCGGGGAGGGGAGCCGCACCCAUCUUCUUCCAUCUCUUCCUCACCCGCAUUAGGGUUUCCUGCGCAUCCUUGCGCUGCCGCCGCCGCCUCUUCCUUUCACCGCCGGCGUCUCUGUUUCUCCUCCUUAUCAUCGCUGAUCGCCUCAUCUCCUUCCUCACCCAUCAUCGCGGCAGCUCUAGUCGCCGACUUUCUUCCUAAACAGCAGCCACAAAAGCUGUUGUUCGAAAGGAAUAGGGGGAGGAGACCAACGCCAUGGACAAGAAGGAGCAAGUGGCUUUAAACCAUCGAGCGAAUGAUAACAAAGAGGCGAAUGAUAAUGAAGAACACGAUUGGAUCUGGUUUCUGCUAUGGCAAGAAGAGAGGAGAGAGAGACAGAGAGAGUGAGAAGAGAUGCGAGACUGGGGGGGGGGGAUCUGGUUUCUGCCAUGGCAAGAAGAGAGGAGAGAGAGACAGAGAGAGUGAGAAGAGAUGCAAGGUUGGGGGGGGGGGGAGUCGCUGUGCGUUUUCCAUGUUUUGGUUUUUUGUGUGUUUUCACAGAAAACGCCCAAAAUAACAAAAUGUUGUUUUGAGUUUUCUUUAUAAAUUUUUUCUUUGUUUUGAAAAAUGCGUUUUUGAAAAUAGAAAAGAAAAUACGCUUUCAGUGUUUUGAAAAACUGAAAACUCAAAAUGGGUUGAAAAUAGCAAACAGAACAGGCCUUAGAUUUUGAAAGUUAUAAAUGUUAAGAUAUACUUAAUUUCACAUGGUUGCAGUACAAGAUAUAGAUUUUUCAACCAAGAAGACAUAACCUCUCAAGUUCAGAUUUCUUAAUCUCUUAAGCUAAUAUCACUAAAUCUUACUUAGUAAUUCUUGAUAUCAAUAUAAUCUUCAAACAGUUACAAAUAAUGUACUGAAGAUGUGUUCUAUUCCUAAAGCUUUAGUUCCUAACACUAGACUUACUCAUCUCUAACCUAAGAACAUGAUUAUGCACUGUAAUUAACAGAAGAGACCUUGACUUACCUAGAUAAUAAGAUUGCUUCUAGAGAGGAAGGUAAUGUAUCUUGCUUUCCUUCUCUAUCUUCUGGAGAUAAUUAUUGGUAAAGAAUAAACAUAGGUUAUUUUGUUAGACAAAAAGAUUCCAUUAUUUUUUAAAAUCAUGAUUCCCAUGCACUAAAUAAUAUUGCAAAGCAAAUAUUUUUAAGGGGGUCUUACACUAUCAAGCCAAUCCCAAUACAGUUGUGCUUCAUGUGAAUAACUAAUGUUAUGAAAUUUGACUAGAUUGAACUUGGUGGAUAAAUUUGGAUGUAUUUGUAUUUGACAAAUCAAGAUUUGUAUUUGAACAUGGGUCAUAAAUCUGAUCCAUUGCAGCUGCAUGCAGUAACAGGAUUGUAGUUUUCUGGACGACAUUCAGAUCAUGUUAACCUGAUUCUGAAGCAAUAUGUUUUCUGCACAUCAAAAUGUUUGUAUGGGUUUGCCUUAAAUCAGUUAUUAGCUGUAGGCAUAUUCUGAUUUUUGUGUUUCUGAGUUUAGUGGUUGGGCUCUUACAUAUUUUUAUUUGAAUGUGUUGUAAUGUUAGUCCAAGAUGGAGAAAUAUGAUCUUUGUAUAUGGCAAAGAAUUUAAUGUAAUUACCUCAUUCAAUGGUGUGCUGAUUCAUCCUCUAGGCUGAUCAGGAUGCAAAUGGGGGCAUUAAAUGCAAAACGAAGCUAAUUGGGUGAUUUUGGACAAUUUCGACAUUGCUUCGUAAUUCAGGCAUAACUCUCUUAUCCGAGCUCCGAUUGAGAUUAUUCAAGAUGAUAUGGAACGAUAAGAAAAAUAUCUACAACUUUCAUGUUUUGAGAUUUGAGAGAUACUGGCUACAUCAAGAUCGAAAUCGAGCUUGAAGUUGUUGUACCUACACUGUUGACGUUCUGGAACUCCCUUAGCCUACAAGUCUAAUACGCGGAUUUGACGUAGUUUAUUUUCUGAAGUUUCCAGAUUUGGAAAGACGAGAAAAAUUGGAGCAGAAGCUCCGAAGAAAUUGCAAUUGGUGGACUUGGAGGCCUAAAUACAUUAUUUUAAUCAAUUGAAGUUAAGUAGAGCCACCGCUCAUUUUUGCAAGAUCAAGGCACACCUAAAACUCACGACGAUCAAGCUCAUCGGAGAAAUACCAUUCCGACCGUCGGAGAAAACCGUUCUAAUAGACCCAACAGAGGACAUUAACAUCUAGUACUACGGGUAUGCUGAGAAGAGGGCUCUCGCACUGUGUCGGACGACAUCAGCCAUGUCAACGACAACAUUUAGAAGAGCAAUGGCGACAAGUGGGCUAGGAUGGGCCCAUUUAGAAAUUCAGGGCAGGAACUCCAUUAUAGGCCCAUCUAGGGCCCUUCUAGAAUGGCCCACAAUGUCAUUGGGUCUAGCCCAAUUGGACCUAGGCCCAUCUGUUUCGAAAGUGGGCUCAGCCCAUUAAGACACUAUACAGAGCAGCUGGGACACCUCACAGCCUCCACAGUACAAGCAUCCAUUGACUUCAUCUUCAAGCAAGGAACAAACCAAAAGGCCAAUACGACCAAGCCCAUAUAAUGUUGUUGGGAUGAACUGUUUAUGUAAACCUACCAUAUUAAAUGUUAAUGUUAAUUUUAUUAUGGUUAAAUAGAAAUGAUACUUGUUAAUGUUAAAUGUUAAUUAUUGUUUGGAUGGAAAUGAUAUAUACAAUGCUGUGCAUCCCACUCUAAGUCAAAGGGUUUAGGGUUUAAAAUAUAAUGCAAAAUAUGGUGUAACAAAUUUCAUCAUUUUAUUGAUCAUAAAAUGUUAAGCGACUGUUAAUUACAAUGCUAAUACCCCCCUUCGUCCUUACUGUCCCACACCAUGAGCACGUUAUCUAACAGAUUACUAUACCGACUGGACACCUCACCAUCUUGGUCUUUAAACCUAACAAUCAGACAUGAUCGAUCAUAAUUCAGCCAAAUAAACUGGUUGAGUACAAUGCGAGACCCUACCGAUUGGUUAACAAAAUUAAAAGUCUGCUAGAACACCACACGAAACCUGUUGAUCAUAUCACAACAGACAUGGCAACCGAUGAACGAUCAGAUGGGCUCGGUUCCAACAUUGAACACGUCUGGCGGGCCAAGUGUUGCGACAAGAUUGGGUUCAUGGUCCAAGACAAUGUACAGGCACUCGACGCCAGACUUACAGGCAUCGUGGUCUUCGACUGCAUGACCCAUUACAACAUCACCUCCUAAACCAGGGCUGCCCAACGCAACAUCUUCCAUCCUAGUGGGAUGGCCUUCCAAAGUCAUGAAUAUGUUGACAUUCAGCGAAUGUAUCCUAAUGCGCCUCCCGCUACGCUUGUUUGUCCUAGGACCCAACGACGGAUAACUCAAAUAAUCCGAAUGUAGAGUACUCGUUGUCACUAGGUGCGAUGGUGUAAUCCGUUUGUCGUAAAUCCCACUGACAUAUUUACGACGACGAUAAAUUGAUAUGCGAGGCGAAUUUACCGCAACAAACCUCCUAGAGAAUACACCCCUCCUCUUGACGAGGUAGGAUCUCUUUCCAAUUCUAAACGAAGGCAUUCUGACACCGACGCUCCUAGCCGACCCAUGAAAUUGAAAGGAAAAGGAGAAUUGAAGCCCACAUAUUAUAUUAAUUAAUUAAAAGAAUUGGCAGCAAGGAAUUGAAGAGCCUAGGAAGCCGUGAAGACUCCAAUUCAAAUUGGAAUUGCAAUUUAAAGGGGCCCAUGAAUAUGGAGGGCUAGGGCACCGUACAUGCAUGUAUAUAUAUUAAUAAUACAUUAAUAUGAAGGAGGCAAUUGGAGAUUCACACAUUGAAGGGUGACUAGCAGCAAGUGGCGGAGUUACACAGAAUUAACAGAGACGCCUCUCUUUCCCUUCUUUUCUUACUUCUCCUUUGAGUUUUCAUUAUGGCCUUGCGUGGCUAAUUUUUUUAUAAUUGGUCAAAGGAAACGAAAGCCUUGGAAUAAAAAAAACUAUGAGCUCUAAUUUGUUUUUAUUAUUCAAUUUAUGCUUUGAGUAUGAAUGUUCUUUGGUACCUAUCUUCAUGAUUGUCUCGUUUAAUUACUAGGAGGCCCACUAGUUUAUUAUUCAUUGCAAUCUACUGCUAAGUUAGAUAUCAAAUCCGUAAUUGUUUGAUCCCUCUAAUUUGUGAAGCAACUAAAAUUUAAUGAUUUGUUGCGUCAUAAAUUAUUAGAUCUUAGGAAGAACGCUCGAUUGAAUUAAAUACAAUUGCUUGUACUUGUGUUGUUUAGCUUCAUCGAUCUCUAUAAUUCUUAAGGCUGUUACUAGAUUAAAUCUUUGCGCUUGUCUUGGGUUAUUUAGUAGUUAGGGUUGAUUAGAUUGCAUGUUUUCUAAUUAAUUAUGACUAAGAAGAGAUAGGAAAAUAGUUCCAACGGGGAAUAUUUAAUGUGUGAAUUGAUAUAUACUUGUAUUGAUGAUCAGUUGUAAGAUUCCGAUGGUGGAUGUUGCCUUAAACCAAGGUUCGUUCUUUUGAUUGAUUUCGAUAUUCUAAUUUGAAUUGCUCCUUAGUUGUUUUUUUAAAAAAAAAUUGUUUUCAUUAUACUCAACCCCCUCAUCAUUGUUCACGUAGCAUAAAAUAGGCUAGAUACUCUCUAUGGGAACGAUCCUUACUCGCACCACUACAUAAAUUUUUAGGAGUAUAGGUUUUAUUUUUAGUUAUCUACGACAGCACACCAAUCAGCAAGUAAGGAACUGGGAAGGCAUUGGUAGUGGAGGUGGAAGAGAGCCCACUCCACCCAAUGGAGAUACGAAUAAAGGUGAUAAGCACCUCCCACUGUUGCAGUGAUUUCACUGCUUGGAAAUUCAGGUUCUUUCUCUCCCCUGCCCCAUCUUUCUCCUCUAAUUCUUUGUUUAAAUCUAACUACAUUAUAUCUCCUCUUCAGUUAGAGGGGUCUUCGAACAAAUGUAUGAUUCAGUGGGUCUUAGAAUGAUUAAUAUCAAGCAGUGUGUAACACCCUGCUAUUUGGAAGAUGUUUAGAGAUGUGUGAAGUAUUUUUGGGGCUAAAAUGCAAGUUUUGGACUACAUGGACGGGUAAGGUGGUAAAAAUGCCUUUGAAAUGAUGAAACCAGACUCAUUUUAGGUAUGCCAGACCAAGCUGUAGAAUCAAAGGGUGAAACUGUUGAUUACCAGCUGAGUUGGCAUCAGGCAUCAGAUUACACGCAUUUUAUACGAAGACGAUUGGCAGGCUUGAGGAGCUCUUGACUGUUUCUUCAAAAUGUUAAAAGUUUAUGAAAACAAUCAGAUAAUUCUGGUUGACUUACUAAAACUGAGCUUGGCCAAGCGAGUUGAUGUGGUGCAAUGACAUAAAUACCUUUUGUGGCUUGAUCAAAGGGUCCAAAAUUAAUUGGCUUUAGAGAACUAGGUGCACAAAAAAUUAGACAUGCAUGCAUUAAUACAUAUAUGAAUCUAUGAGUGUGUGAGGGCAAAAUAAUUGUGCAACAUGUGAAACUUCUUUCAUUUUCCUUCUAGAAGGUGUGUUUGUGCUGGUUGUGAGAUAUUUGUAAUUCUCAAUUGCUUCUAGAAGGUGGGGUGUGUUGGAAAAUUUAUAUGGAUUUGAAAAUAGCUUUUAGAAGGCCAGUUGUUGCCAAUCCCUCACCAAAUGUUUUGAAACUUACUGGUAAAGCUUGUUUGCCUAUCACCUUACAUGUAUAUGUAGACAAGUGGAGAGAAUCCACAGAGAAGAGAGAGAUAGCUCUUUAGCAUUCUGAUAGUCAAAGGAUUGAGCUUGAAACUAUUACUCCUAAAGAAGGGUAUAGCUGGAGCCAUGAUCCAAUUGUGAUUAGAAGCCCAGUCACAAUCAGUGGAGAGUAGAAGUAAGAAGGAAACUACACAAUAGGAACCAGCCAAAGAUUGCAAAAGAGAAAGAUUUCUUUGCUGUUGCUAUCAUAGUGCACGCCACUCUCACAACCCGAAGGAUCCUCAAGACUCAAGGAUAUAAUAGUAAUUAUGUCUUGUAUGUAUUUCUCUUUUGGUUGUACAUUGAUGUUGUCACAGUUGUACCUUUCAGUUGUAUUCUAACUAAAAGAUAGUGCAGCCUAUAAACAGGCUAGAUUAGGUAGAGAAUGUCAUAUUGAAUAAUUAAAUUUCUAAUUCUCCCGCAACUGCUCUGAUCUUUCUCUCUCUCUCUCUCUCUCUCUAUAUAUAUAUAUAUAUAUAUAUUUCCCCCUCAAUUCUGUCUAUUUCCCCCUCCAUUUCUGUUUUAUUUCUCCCUCCAAUCUUCUCUGUUCUUGAUUCUAACUCUCUUGGAUUCUUCCAAUUUCCAUUCAAACCCUAGGUAAACCCUAGGAACAUGACAAAUGGUAUCGGAGCCGAUUGAUUCUUGGCUAUGAGUCAAGCGAUCUACAAGUGACCUUAAUAGUGAUUCUGAGUCGAAUUGAAGGCAGAACAGAGCUGACAAUACUCGGCUGUGAUUUUGGAAGUUUUAGUAGUUGACUAAGGCGAAGCACAUUCAGGUGAUUUUUGGCUUUAAUUCUAGUGAUUUAGAGCAGCAAAACCGUUUGAGUCGCAGCUGUUGAUAGACCACUCCUAGUAGUAAUUCCAAUCCGACUUGAGGACAUCAAAGACAUAUCAAAACUGAGCAGAGUAACUGAUCCUUUGAAGGUGAAGCAGAGCAAAGCAAUUCCCAGCUGUGAUUUCCGACGCUUCUCGGCUGUUAAUUUGUGACGGUUCUCGGUUGUUGAUUUCCUCUGGCAAUUUCUGAUUGUGAUUCUGGCAACGAAUUCUAUUUACUACAACAGAGCCUAUUGUAUGUUAGGAGACUACAAAUGGUAUCAGAAACGAUCAAGUUCAAGAAGCUGAUUCAGAUCUAACUCCUAGCAGUUUAUUUCAAGUAGAACUUGAAGGCAGAUCAGAUCGAUUGAUUCAGGAGACAGAUUAGGUUUGCUAAACUUGAAGCAGUGAUUGAGUCAGAUUAGGUUUGCUGAAUUUAGGUUUCAAUGAACUUAGGUUUGCUGAAUUUUAGUACUGGAAUAAGUUUCUGAGGAGAUCCUUAGAAACUAAUCAAGAGGCGAUUAUUGGAAGCAAAUUCAGAGGCAGAUCUAGGUGAAUCUGAACUGUGGAGAUGGAGAACAGAUUCUAGGAGAAAGUUACUAACCUCAAUCAAACACUGGACAACUUAAUGAUCUUGAUUUCAUAGAGAUUUUGGAUCAGUUUACCAGAGGAACUUUUUUCAACUUCCACUGUGGAACCAAUUCCAGCAAGCAUUGGAAGCCUACAUAAUGCUUCUAGUUUGCAAGAAGUAGAUGAAUUAGCCUUAAAUCAAGUUGGAGAUGAGAGUGGCAAUGAAGAGUUCAAUAAACUAACACAAGAAGGCUCUGUUAUGGAUUGCCAAGUCAGGUUUGAGGAAUUGAAAAUGUUGAUGCUCAAUUCCCAUCCAACCUUGAAGGAGUCUUACUUUGUGUCGAGCUUCAUCAGUGGUCUAAACGAUGAUUUGAGGCCUGUUGUGAAAAUGAUGCAUCCUGCCACAGUAAAACAAGCAGCUGAGAAGGCUAGACUACAAGAAUUGGUGCUGCAAGCCGUUUACAGAAAAACAUAAGUUGCAGCCUGAAAGUUAUUCUAUGAGCAACCAGCAGAUUGGAGAUACAUCUAAAGCUGCCAAUCGAGUAGUGCAGGAAUCUCAGGAACAAUCUGAAGUGGACCAGUGAGUUGUAACUCAAGAAUUUGGCAAGGAAGAGAGAUUGGACAAGGAGAUCUGUGAGGAUCACAUUAUAUAUUUGCAGGAAACUGAUGAAGUAGCAUUGGAACAAAACAUUAAUUGAAUUGAUAUGUUGACUAUAAAUCAGAUUGGAGAUGAAGAUAGUUAGGAUGCCAAGAAAGGAAUAGAAGUUACAGGAAAAGUUACUGCAACAGCAUUAGAGGAGAAAUUUGUUGCAGAUGAACUUUUGGUGUGGACGCUUUAAAGGCACUGUUGAAGUCUGUAAAUGUAGAGUCUAAUUGGAUUUGGAGGCAGGCAAUGCGAAUAAUCAUCAAUGACGAGGAAUGGGACUGAGGAAAAGCGUAAUGACGACAUGAAUGUCCAGGAAAUUACUAGAACUUACAGAUCAAUUGGAGAAGAGAGCUUUGUCAUGGAAAUCUUUGAGGACUGCAUUUUACAAUUGCAGAAACAGCAAAAGCGACAGAGCAUAAAAGUAAAGAGGAAUAGGCCUAGAAGGAGAAAGAAGGAAAGAAGGAUAAAUCAAAUAGUGAAAGCAGGGAUUGGAUGAAGAAUGGGGCCAAUAGCUUCAAGUUAUUGGGGACAAGAACUCUCUCAAGGAGGGGGGAAUUGUCAUGAUGCCAAGGACCCCCCAAGGAUAUAAUAGUAAUUUUGUCAUAUAUGUAUUUCUCUUUUCGUUGUACAUUGUUGUUGUCACAAUUGUGUUCUAACUGAAAGAUAUAACAGCCUAUUAAUAGGCUAGAUUAGGUAGGGAAUGUCAUAUUGAAUGAUAAUUGAAUUUCUGAUUCUC